AGUGAACGCUGGCGGUAGGCCUAACACAUGCAAGUCGAACGGCAGCACAGUAAGAGCUUGCUCUUACGGGUGGCGAGUGGCGGACGGGUGAGGAAUACAUCGGAAUCUACUUUUUCGUGGGGGAUAACGUAGGGAAACUUACGCUAAUACCGCAUACGACCUACGGGUGAAAGCAGGGGAUCUUCGGACCUUGCGCGAUUGAAUGAGCCGAUGUCGGAUUAGCUAGUUGGCGGGGUAAAGGCCCACCAAGGCGACGAUCCGUAGCUGGUCUGAGAGGAUGAUCAGCCACACUGGAACUGGGACACGGUCCAGACUCCUACGGGAGGCAGCAGUGGGGAAUAUUGGACAAUGGGCGCAAGCCUGAUCCAGCCAUACCGCGUGGGUGAAGAAGGCCUUCGGGUUGUAAAGCCCUUUUGUUGGGAAAAAAAAGCAGCAGGUUAAUACCCCGCUGUUCUGACGGUACCCAAAGAAUAAGCACCGGCUAACUUCGU
rnacentral:rRNA from 1 species